GACGCAGACGACAUUUGGGCUUUGAUGGCCAAAGCCCAAUAACUAAAGACAGAUGACCACUUAAAUAAAUAAAAUACAUUCCACUACCCUUAAAGAACCUUGACAUAGUUCAAGGUUCAAAAUCGGAAAAUUGGGAUCUGAGGAACGACGGAUCUUCCCAUGUCGCCUCUUCCGGUGACAAGUUCGCCCAUUGCACCAACCACUGUGUCACUUCUCUAUUUCUUCACUUCACCACCCUACGAUCCAGCACUGCAAUGGGUUCCAUCAAGACCCUACCAUCAUUAGCACAAUAUGGUGGAUCUUGAGAUGCAAAAAUCUGACCCCCAAUCUUCUUUUUGAGUUGCGAAACGUGAUAAAUCGGAUGAAUUUUGGAUCCUCGUGGCAGCUUGAGUUCAUAAGAAACUGAACUGAUCUUUUUGACAACCUCGUAGGGACCGAAAUACCUCACCGACAACUUCAAAUUCUGGUGAAUGGCGACCGAGCAUUGACGGUAAGGCUGUAAUUUCAAAAAUACCAGUCACCCACUUCGAAUUUUUGUUCACUUCUUCGGUUAUCUGUGAAGUGUUUCAUUCUAUUCUGCGCUUUGAUUAGAUUAUCCUUUAAAACUUUAUCCAUUAAUUGUCGAUCUCUGAGUACUUGAUCCAAUGUGUCUAGCUUGGUUUGAGCAAUGAGUUCAAAGGUCGGUUGAGGCAGAUCGUAGCCGUACAAGGCUUUGAAUGGGGACAUUCUCAAAGAGCUAUGGUAAUUUGAAUUGUACAAGAGCUUCGCCUGGGCUAACCAUUUGUUACAUCCGGUAUUUUUGCAUAUUCGAAAAAUUGGAGAUAACUUGGCUUGUAAUGAAUGAGGCCAUAAUUGGACCUUAUUUGGUAUGAAUGUGUUGGCUAUGAAAUUAUUGGUGUGAAAUACGGAGGAAGGCCAAGGGCAAAAAUUGAAAUUUCGGAAAUUAGCCUCGGGAAUUUUAAAUUAGCCAUAAGUAAUUGGGCUUGGGGAAUCAAAAAAAAAAAAAAAAGAAAGAGAAGGCCCAAAUAUGCAAAGGGUGGCCGGCCAUGGUAAUUAAAAUGGCCCAAGCCCACAAUAAAUUUAACUCAUGUAUUAAUAAGAAGAUGAUCCAUAAUUCUUUCCUUUUCAAGAAGUUUCAAGAACAUAAAAUUGAGAGGAAAAAGAAAGAAAGCCUACGGCCAAGAAGAGAAAGAGAAAAGAAAAGAAAAAAAAAAUUUCUUGGAGUUAAAUCCUUGGUUCAAAAAUCCAUUUCUUGUGGGAUUAUUACUAAGUGCAAGAUUCUCUACAACUUGGUACAAUUAUUUUGGCAAGAAACUAUCUUUGGUAGCAAGGAGAAUUUGUUGGUAAAAAGAUUCUGGACGAGAUUGGAAUCGAAGCCAAGCGAGCGUAAGGCGCAAUCGAGGUACAGACGCACCUGAAGAUACGCCGCCAGUCUAGGGCUCAGAUUCUGCUAUUUUGAAGAGCUCUUUUGGUCCGGAGCGUGUACUUUUGGUAUAUAUCUUCUGUCUUCUGUAUAUUCUGUAUGUAUGGCAACUCCGGGUACGGCGGGGCCCUAUCCCGUCAUAUGACUCUGUCGGUCUGUUUAGAGGUCUGUGGACAUGUUUGUGGGUUAGGGUCUUUCUGUACGGAUGUGUGUAUAUGUUGUGUUUGGGGCGACCCCAUUCGCCGCGGCGGCCGGUCCGCAUAUGUUUAUAUAUUGCUUUGCUGGCCGGUGUGGCCUUUGUUGGUAUUUUCUGUGCGCAGGGUUAUUUUGGAUAGUAUGUAAAACAAAGGAAACUCUGCCAAAAUUUUUCUGGAAAUUAUCUAAAUUUGAAAUAUAGCCUUGACGGCUUCUGCUUUAUACUUGAAUGCGUUUGAUAACAGUUGAGAUAACGUUGGAUAGAUGUGUUUGGGUGCCCAGAUCGGGUACUAGUCACGGCCUACGGGGUUGGGUCAUGACACCAUUUGCUCCAUUCUGCUGGUUUAUGACUCGUCAUACAUCUCAGGUAUGUUUCUAAACAUCGAUUUAACCCCUCCGAUUGUCCAUCUGUUUGGGGGUGAUAGGAGGAACUUGGUUUUAGUUGAACUUGUAACCAUUUGAAUAGCUCCCUCCAAAAGUUGCUAACAAAUUGGGUCACGAUCUGAAACUAUGGAACUAGGCAACCUAUGUAAUUUACAAACAUUAUCAACGAAUAACUAGGCAAUUGGUGAAGCAGUGUAAGGGUGGGUUAAGGCAAAUAAAUGGGAAAAUUUUGUAAAUCUGUCGAUUACCACCAAGAUUGAAUCUUUUCCUCUUGAUUUGGGCAGACCACAUAUAAAAUUCAUGGCAACAUGUUCCCAGGCCCUCUUCAGGAGAGGUAAUGGCUGCAAUAAUCCUGGGUGGCCAGGGAGACAGGCUUGAUCCAUAACUUUAUUACUCAGGGACUACGUAGCGGAGCUCCAUUUCAUUCGGAGCUAUAGCUUUUGGUAUCUAUUCUUUUGUGUAAAUACUUAUGGGUAUGGAGGGGUCCUGUCCCGCCUAUAUGAUAUGACAUACUCUCCUUAGAGGCUCGUAGACAUGUGUAUAUGGUUAGAUGUAUUUGGCCUUGUCGGCCUAUAUUUUGGAUAUCAUUUCGUUAGCCUCGUCGGCUUAUGUACAUUGUUGUGGGCAUAACUGUUGAUGGUAAUAUAAAUAUACUGUUGCACAA